GACGAACGCUGGCGGCGUGCUUAACACAUGCAAGUCGAGCGCAGAAGGCCGGUACUUGUGCCAACUGGAUGUGCAGAGCACGGGAGAGUAACGCGUGGGGCAUCUGCUUUUGUGUGGGGGACAAUCUUUGGAAUCGAACGCUAACACGGUAUAAACUCCUUCUACAUAAGUUUUAAGUUAGAAAGUCGCCAUUGCAUCACUGACUGAUGAUUUCGCGUUGUGUUAGCUAGUUGGUGAGGUAAAGGCUCACCCAGGCGAUGAUACAUAGCCCACCUGAGAGGGUGAGCGGCCACAUUGGGACUGAGACACGGCCCAAACGCCUACGGGAGGCAGCAGUAGGGAAUCUUGGGCAAUGGACGAAGGACUGACCGAGCAACGCCGCGUGAGUGAAGAAGGUUUUCGGAUCGUAGAACUCUGUUGGUAGGGAAGAACAUUGGUUAGAGUGGAAAGCUCAUCAAGUGACGGUAACUGCCCAAAAAGGGACGGCUAACUACGUG
rnacentral:rRNA from 1 species